UUGACCUCGGAUCAGGUAGGGAUACCCGCUGAACUUAAGCAUAUCAAUGAGCGGAGGAAAAGAAACCAACAGGGAUUACCUCAGUAACGGCGAGUGAAGCGGUAAGAGCUCAAAUUUGAAAGCUGGCUCCUUCGGGGUCCGCAUUGUAAUUUGCAGAGGAUGUUUCGGAAGCAGCCCCCAUCUAAGUACCCUGGAACGGGUCGUCAUAGAGGGUGAGAAUCCCGUAUGGGAUGGGGUGUCUGCGCCCAUGUGAAACUCCUUCGACGAGUCGAGUUGUUUGGGAAUGCAGCUCUAAAUGGGUGGUAAAUUUCAUCUAAAGCUAAAUAUUGGCCGGAGACCGAUAGCGCACAAGUAGAGUGAUCGAAAGAUGAAAAGCACUUUGAAAAGAGAGUUAAAAAGCACGUGAAAUUGUUGAAAGGGAAGCGCUUGCGACCAGACUCGCCUCGGGGGUUCAACCGGCAUUCGUGCCGGUGUACUUCCCCCGGGGCGGGCCAGCGUCGGUUUGGGCGGUCGGUCAAAGGCCCUCGGAAUGUAACGCCUCUCGGGGCGUCUUAUAGCCGAGGGUGCCAUGCGACCUGCCCGGACCGAGGAACGCGCUUCGGCUCGGACGCUGGCAUAAUGGUCGUAAGCGACC
rnacentral:rRNA from 1 species